CCUACGGGUGGCUGCAGUGGGGGAUAUUGCACAAUGGGGGAAACCCUGCUGCAGCGACGCCGCGUGUGGGAAGACGGUCCUCUGGAUUGUAAACCACUGUCCCCAGGGACGAAGAUGACGGUACCUGGGGAGGAAGCUCCGGCUAACUACGUGCCAGCAGCCGCGGUACUACGAAGGGAGCGAGCGUUGUCCGGAAUUACUGGGUGUAAAGUGAGCGUAGGCGGGGAUGCAAGUUUGUUGUCAAAACUACCGGCUCAACUGGUAGUCACACUCAAAACUGCAGCUCUUGAGUGAAGUAGAGGCAGGCGGAAUUCCUAGUGUAGCGGUGAAAUGCGUAGAUAUUAGGAGGAACACCAGUGGCGAAGGCGGCCUGCUGGGCUUUUACUGACGCUGAGGCUCGAAAGUGUGGGGAGCAAACAGGAUUAGAUACCCGGGUAGUC
rnacentral:rRNA from 1 species